rnacentral:rRNA from 1 species
UACGGAGGGUGCGAGCGUUGUCCGGAAUCACUGGGCGUAAAGGGCGCGUAGGCGGCAGGCCAAGCGUGCGGUGAAAGUCCGGGGCUCAACCCCGGAUCUGCCGUGCGGACUGGUUUGCUAGAGCACUGUAGAGGCGAGUGGAAUUCCGGGUGUAGUGGUGAAAUGCGUAGAGAUCCGGAGGAACACCAGUGGCGAAGGCGACCCGCUGGGUCACACCUGACACUGAGACGCGACAGCAUGGGGAGCGAACAGG